rnacentral:rRNA from 1 species
UACGGAGGGUGCAAGCGUUGUCCGGAUUCAUUGGGUUUAAAGGGUGCGCAGGCGGGACAUUAAGUCAGGGGUGAAAGACGGUUGCUCAACAAUCGCAGUGCCUUUGAUACUGGUGUUCUUGGGUAACCUUGAGGUAGGCGGAAUGGGUGGUGUAGCGGUGAAAUGCAUAGAUACCACCCAGAAACUCCGAUUGCGAAGGCAGCCUACUGGAGG